UACAGAGGUCUCAAGCGUUGUUCGGAUUCAUUGGGCGUAAAGGGUGCGUAGGUGGUGAUGCAAGUCUGGUGUGAAAUCUCGGAGCUCAACUCCGAAAUUGCACCGGAUACUGCGUGACUCGAGGACUGUAGAGGAGAUCGGAAUUCACGGUGUAGCAGUGAAAUGCGUAGAUAUCGUGAGGAAGACCAGUUGCGAAGGCGGCUCUCUGGGACGGUACUGACGCUGAGACGCGAAAGCGUGGGGGAGCGAACAGG
rnacentral:rRNA from 1 species